ensembl:Y_RNA Y_RNA Y RNA
AGCUGGUCUGAAGGUAGUGAGUUAUCUCAAUUGACUGUUCACAGUCAGUUACAGAUCAAACUCCUUGUUCUACUCUUUCCCCCCUUCUCACUACUGCACUUGACUAGUCUUUA